rnacentral:rRNA from 1 species
UGGGAUGACGUCAAGUCCUCAUGGCCCUUAUAGGUGGGGCUACACACGUCAUACAAUGGCUGGUACAAAGGGUUGCCAACCCGCGAGGGGGAGCUAAUCCCAUAAAGCCAGUCGUAGUCCGGAUCGUAGUCUGCAACUCGACUACGUGAAGUCGGAAUCGCUAGUAAUCGUGGAUCAGAAUGUCACGGUGAAUACGUUCCCGGGUCUU